AGCCUCGUGGCUCACUUGGCUAGAGCGUUGCCCUUCUUGACGUUGGUUCGAAUCCCACCGAGGCCA
rnacentral:tRNA from 1 species